GGCGGGUCUAGUUUCAGGCGUUCUUUUGCAUUAAUACUACAUUAGAAUACAUCAAGCCUGGGGACACAAUUCCAUGAUGACACACAAAAAAAAAAAAAAAAAGGCCAGGCCAGGCCUGAAUGGAGGAUUGUCACUCAGCAUCUGUCUCCCUCUACAGAGGCGGUAAUCCCUCGCUCACCAGGGGCAGCUCAUCAGGUAUACGGGGAGGGGAAAGCAUACGGGGGUAGUGGACAGCUCACACAAUGGCAUUGUGUGGGGACGGGACGGGGACCUGGCAACUCUCCCCGUGCUCUUAUCUCACUGUGUCAGCGCCGUGUGGAGGAACUUGGGGGGGGGGGGGGGGGGGUGAACGUGGAAAGUGGCAGGUAGUUCUUUCAGUCAGGCUGAAGAAAAAAAAAGAAGUGAGUCUGAAAUCAUGGAGCGGCAUAAAAGACCCCGUUAUUAUAUAUCCUUGUAAUUGUCCCUGUUGUGGAAGGAGUGCCUGUUUAAAAAUAGCCACAACGUACAGUAGGUCUUUGUUUCACACCUUGUCGUCCCACAUUUCGGCGGUUCAUGUCGAAAAUAACCAUUUUAUUUAUUUGUCUUAUGUCUUUGCUUCCUUAUUUGGUCUAUUGUUACGUGUCCAGUUUCUCGCCCCAACGUAUAAUCCUAAAUGCUAAUUGGCUGAUAGCGGUGCUAUGUGAAACCUUAUACAACGUGGACGACAUCACUUUUUAUGUUCAAACUACAUUGGUUAACGUUUAUUUAAUAGCAAUAAGGGAUCUCAGGUGGGUUUUUGGCGUAUUGCAACUAUACCACGGCUUUACACCGUGUCCAGGGACUCAUGCAUAAAGGCAGCUCUUAGCUGUGGGAUGUUGUCCAUAGAUGUUUCUGAUCAGAUGUGUUUCCAGGGUCCAAGUGGCUAACCAGAUACAGUGGUUAUGAACACAGACACCAGGAUGGAUUGAGUUACUCAGACUUUUCCCCAGAGGGUCUCAUAUUGACUGAGCUGUACACUGAGACACUUAGUCUGCAAUACAAUUGGCUGUUUAGAUUCAUUGUCCUUGAUUGGCUCAGGAAAACAAACCGCAAAGGCUAUCUUGUUGCAGAACAUCUUGUGUUACACUCUUAAAGUCUAAAAGAGAGGGUUACAAAAUGUUGGCGAAAUUAGAUCUGUGACUUCCUUUCUAUGGUCAUAAACCUUUAGACUCAGUCACCUUUACACACAAUGCUGAUGAACUUGUCCGUUUUAUGUUUAAGGGGUAAAAAUGUAUCUAUAAAGCAAAAACAUCAGCCCAUGCUACAACACUUUUUGAAAUGUUUCUUUUCCUCCUCCUUUUGUUGAGGUCUACCAGACCCUGCAAACCCUUUACUUGGUCUCACAUGGUUUUAAAUAUUUCUAAACAGUCAUUUUGUAAAGGUUUCUGAUUCAUGUUUGAACUUCUCCCGACCUGCAUCUUCUGUGAGUCUGUACCAGAAAAUAAUCAUCUUUAUUCCACUCCUCUACCUAAUUAAUUAUUGACUCAUUUUAAUUUUGAAUUAUCAUCAUGUCGGUUUGGAACUGACUCUGGAUGUCCACUGUGGAGUUACAUUAUAAGCUGUUUGCCUCAUAAGUCACACAAGGGGGCUAUGCCAGCUUAUCAUGUGACCAGCACCAAAAGGUUGCUAAAUCGAAUCCCCUGAGUUGAAAAAGGGGAAAAGUCUUAUUAGUCUGUCCUUGAACAAUGCCAGUUAAACCUAAUGGCAUUUAAAUCCAAUUCCAGUUAAACCCAAUUCCUCAGGUUGUUGUUGAAAAUGAGGAUAUGUUCGGUCACACUUGGUAAAAUAAGGGUUAGAAAAACAUUAAAC
ensembl:lncRNA